rnacentral:lncRNA from 1 species
AUCAUAUCUGAAUUGAUUACUCAAAUCUUCAUCCAUCUUCUGAAAACCCAGCCACCAUGCCUUCUACUCUAUCUCCCUCAGAAGAUAAAUAUCUCAAUGACCUUCUGCAACUCGCCCGUCCUUUCCUCCGCGGAGAGCUCGAAAACGUGGACAAAAACCUUCCUUAUCUAGUCUCAGUCCUGCGCUCAGUUGGGGCAGGCGAGUGCUGGCACAAGCAUGGAAGUUUUCUUGAACAUCUGUUUGAUAUAUAUCGCAUUCUCAAGCUGUGGAAAGCCCCUGAUGCUGUUUGCCUUUGUGGGCUCUUUCACUCUGCUUAUUCCAAUUCCUAUGUCAAUCUUGCCAUCUUUGAUCCGUCCACCGGUCGGGAUGUAGUUCGUUCCCACGUCCAAGAAGCUGUUGAGAGGCUAAUCCACAUGUUCUGCAUUGUCCCUCGUCAUCCUUUGAUUCAUGAUGAUCUUCUGUUUCAUUAUGAUGAUCAAGAAUUGGACGAACACCUCAAGUUUUCGGAGAUUUCUCUGAGGAAUGCGAAGGAAAAAGGAUUGUUUAACGAGGAGGAAAGUUGGAGAGUAAAACUCAGGUCUGUUCUGCCUGCUGAUGGGGUAGUAGUGAAGCAUAUCAGAACAGGAGAAGAAGUUCCAGUUUCGCGAAGAUUGGUUGCUGUGUUUCUCCUGAUGACAAUGGCAGACUUUUCAGACCAACUGUUCGGUUUUCAGGAUGUUUUGUUUGAGAAUUCAAAUGGCCGUUUGGAAUUCUCAGGCAAUAAUUUCUAUGGUCUAUGGCCAGGUAAUGGCAAGCCUGGAUUAUGGCUGAAUUCAAUAUCAAGAAUGGGUGCACUGUACGCCUUGAUUGCGAGAGAAGAGGAGAUUUUCCUUGAGCAAAGGAGAAGAAAUAAUGGAGGGGUUAUUGUUUUAGCAGAUGAUAGAGAUGAAGAGCUUGAGCUAGUAAUCCCACCUGUAUUUGAGAACUGCACAAGAGUUUUGGAUGCAGAAGAGCAGAAAAUUGGGCGGGAGUUGUAUUGGGAGGCUGUUUUUGAAGGAGACAAGAUUGCGUUGGAGAGAGCUGAGGAGCUGUUGAUAAGGGCAAUUGAGAAGAACCCUUUUGUUGGAGAGCCUCAUGUGGUUUUGGGUCAGAUUUACUUGAGCAAAGGGAGGUUUGAGGAGGGUGAAAAAGAGGCUCAAAAGGGGCUGAGAAUGAUUUUGGAGUGGGGAAGUCCUUGGGAUAAGAGGAUGUCUUGGGAAGCAUGGGUUGCAUGGGCUAGACUUUUGGUGAUAAAGGGAAAGGAGAAAUCUUGGCCUAAUACUUCUUGGGGCAUCAUCGAGUUGGGUCUUAUAAAGUGAAGAGUGUUUGAAUUGGAUAAGAUUGAUCACUGCUAUGUUUCUUAUUAACUAGUGUUAUUCCAACUUAAUCUUGAAUAUGACAUGAUUAAAAUAUGAAAUAAUGUUGUUGUAUCUUGACAUUUUGUCAAGAAUAUAUCAGUGUACUAUAAGGUUACCAAGACUAUUUGGAAAAUGUUUUGUCUUGCCAAUAUUCAUGUUUAAUUGAGUAGUUUUCAAAAGUGAACUUGAAUUGUUUGAGUAAAUUUUAAAUCAACUGAGUUUAAGCAAACAAAAAUAGCUAGGUCCCAAGGACUAUAUCAUCUUUUUCUAUAUAUAUAUAUUGUGGAAUUCCCCAAGAAUAUAUAAAUAUAUUAUUUUCUUAUCGAGUAAUUGUGUCUACUCAUUUGACCAAAAAUUCACGAAUACAAUAACAUAUAUGAUUAUACGCCAAAUAAUAUAACAAAUACCACAACUGUUUGCAUGAAAUCACAAUCACACCAACAUACAUUCCUUCGUAGCGGCCGAAAUUAAAUCCACAGAAACUUUGUAAUUAAGCUGAAGGAAGGAAAAACUAUAGUUUUAGCAACUGAUGGAUCAGUCUCAUCUUACCGUUAAGGAAUACGAAGACAACAAUAGGCAGCCACGAGUAUGAAAAGUAAAAAAUAGAAAAGAAAAUUUUCGUGCCUUUGUAGCUUUUUCUCUCAUAACCAAUGUUUUCGUAGAGGAAAAAAUUUGAUUAUUUUGUCGUUAACAAUUUAAUCUCUUUUUUCCCCUGGACCACAUUUAACAUAUCUAGACAAAGUAUAGAUUAAAGUUUGUCAAUCAGAUUAAUAAGAGAUUAAUGACUGUUUCCCAUUCACUCCUAUUGUCCCAUCUUAAUUAUGAAGAUCUAGAAUAUGCAAUAAAUUUCAGCUAAUAUUUUGUAUCGGGUCAAGAAUAUCUUAGUGUACCAUAAGAUUACAAGCUUAUUUGGAAAGGUUUCGUAUGCCAAUCUUCACCUUCAUGUUUUAUUGAAAAGUUUCCAACAAUAAGCUUUAACAUUUUGAGUCAACUCUCUCUCUCAAAAAUCCUCUCUCACCCCAUGUAUAAUGUUACAUGUCGCCCUUGUAUACUAUUUUGUAGUAUGCCAACUUUCACCUAUUUAUAAACUAUAUUACUUGGACAAUACCCAAGUAAUAACACGAAAUAAUUGUUAAUUUCUAACCUAGUACAGAAUAGGAAAUAACUCUUAUUCCUAAACUCAUACAAAUAAGAAAUUCUUUGAUUACUACUUCAAAUAACUAAAAUCAAUAAGGAAACUAGUUACUUGCAUACAAAAUAAGAAAUCUGCCUACAAGAAAAGUCAAUUUCCUAACACUUGCUAUUUGAUACAAGUGCAAAUGCAUGUUAAACCAAUGAAAUGGAAAAUAAAUCAAAGAACAAGAAAAUCAACAAAAAUAAUGAUAAAAAACCAUGGAGUCGAAAACCUCCAAAAUUAGUGUUUCAAGUAACUGUGCCAUGUGUAACAAAGCUUCUUCUUCCUUUUUUUCUCUUCUUUUUUUUUUUAAACAAUUCUACAUACUAUUAACAAUAAAAUUUUCAAUUGUUUGUGUUACCUCCAGAUUAGAAUUGCUGACAAGCUUGAGAUCAACUAAAGAAAGUUGGGGAAUGUGUUUAUGCUUCUUCUUUGCAUAUCUCACAACAUUGCUUUCGUUUUGGUCUCUUCUAAUGGGGAUAGUUUUCUUAGGGCAUUUCCCAUUUAGUUGCCACAAUCGAGUGAUUGAAUCAUCCUGGCUAUCAUCUUCAAAAUUGAAUAUUCCUUUCCUUUCUCCAGGUAAUAACUGGGUCUCAUCCGCAAAAUCCAAGUAAAAAUUUUUACUUUUGUUUAUUUACAUAUAACUGUAGAGAUUUUUCCUUGUCUUGCCUUAGAAAAGCUUACCAAAAUAGUAUGAUUUUUGAGUGAAGGAUGAUCAAAUGCCAGUUGAUGAUAAAUACCAAUGCAAUCAAUAACAUCACCAUUUGGGCUCUACCAUUCGAAGUAUCGAUCUCUCAAAUAGAUGGAAAUCAUACUUAACUUUUCAAUAAAUUAUACAAUUGAAUACAGGACCAGAUUACCAAAGGUGCAAACAAAAACCACACAAAGAAAAAGAAAAAAUGACACAAGCACAAGCACAUAGAGCGAUAGAGAUCUGUCCACACGAUCAUGAAGACAAGCAUCCUACGAAAAAGGGAGGAAGUAAACUCACCACGGAUCAUAAGAGGGAUAACCUCUAUGGACUUUACUGGGAUCUCCUUCGACUGGUUCAAGGUUUUCUUGACCAAAAUCUUCUUUCUUGAGGCAUCACAUAAACUAAUCCGUAACUGAUUUAGCAAUAUAAAAUAAUGCAAUAUAAUCCCUUCAUUACCUUCAGACUACAUGACUGCAAAUCCGUAACUAAUUUAGCAGGUUAUUGGAGUUUAUGGUAAGUCUUAAUAUCCUUGAAACGAUCUGGUGUGCUAAACUAAUUGUCCCAUAAUUGUGGAAGCUUCCAUGAAUACCUCCAAGUUAUCCAAUCCAAUUUAGCAACUGCCUUUCGGUCUUCUUUCAAGCCCAUUAGGGUCAAGAAGUUUGCGCAGAUUUGGGUGUAGAUCUAUUAUAUUCAGUUUAGGCCCAGCCAUUGAAAUGCCUACAUACUAUCUCUAUAAAAAGGAGGGAUAAUUUUAGAAACCUCCCCUGGGCUUUCUAACACUUUUAUUGACAUCCCCUGAGGUUCUCAAAAUUUCAUUGACCUCCCUUGAUAGGAAAUUGAGCCCCUUUGCUGACAUCAUGAAGGCAAAAAUUACUAGUAUGUUUGAUGAAAUUGGGUUUAUUACUACUGUUUAGUUGGAGAAAAUGGCAUCUAAAGUAGUUAAUUAAGCUUAACAACAAUAACAAAAAUUUGAUGGCUAAUGCAUAAAUUAAACUUGGAUCAGUGAGGAAGGCGCCAAUUGAGCUACAAUAUUGGUGCCAUUUUGUGCCUGCUAUGAUUUGACAAGGAGAUGGGAUCAUUUAUGUAACAUUCUAACCAUAUGAAGUACAAGGGAAGAUGACAGGUGUCGAACUUGUGUAAUAGUAAAUACUUGCUCAAAUAAAAUAUAAAUUUUGUAUAUAGUGGUAAGUAGGAUCGAAUUCACAGGGAUUGGAAAAAAUUCGUUUCUUUUAAAACCCAAAGUAAAUGGGGAUUUUUAUAAAAAAUGGAGAUAAUUACACAACUCAAAUAAAGAAAAAUACUAAAUGACAAUUUAUUAAAAUUGAAGUAAUAAUAAAUAAACUAUAGCUAAGAAAUAACUUCGAAAAUGGUUUACUUAUUGAUUAUUAAUGCAGUAAUAAUUUCAUUCACUCACUGAUAAACAAGUUAGAACUGCUAAACACGCAAUGACAAUCAACUUUUCCUUACUGUGUUGGGGGUUAAGGUACGAUCGUCAACCACUUUCCUAAUCAAGAAAUAAUUUUAGAUACGACCUUAUAGUUCAAUUUCCUAAUUGCCCUAAGAAUUAGAGAAAUCCUAUUCUAUCAAAUAACAUGCUAUGAGGGUUAUUUUAAAUUAGCCCAUGUGUCCACCUGACACAAAUCCAAUCAUACCAUUGUUCGUCUUUUUUUCUUUCCAACUGAGGGCCACCGAAAACUUUUUUUUUUCUUUUCAAGAAUCCCCAUUGAAAUAGCUCUUUCAGAAGUACUAAUCAAUCCCAUAGCUAACCGAAAACUUUUUCCAUUUUAUCUCCUACUUUAUAGCUUUUUAAAAGAAGUAAACUCGUAAGUGGAAAAGGAAACUACCAACGAUAAUAUUCAAUAUUUCCUAACUAAAUAUUCUACUAAUAAAAAUAGGAAUCUUCUUAAUCUUCAACUAAAGUCUUACUCAGAGUUCAACUCGAAUUAGGAAAGCUCCAUGUGCAGGAAAAUCUUGAGCCUCUCGAACUUGACAGCAUGUCUUGAUCGUGCCCACGUCAAACUGGUAAAGAGUUUUGUGGAAAAUUGCCUCAAUUAACCACUUUUUGCUCCACUUUCCUACAAUCAGCACCAUUAACCAAAUAUAUUUAGAAUCUAUCAAUUAAUACAAUAUUUGGCUAAAAUCAAGGGAAAAUAAUCAUAAAUUUAAAAACAAAAAUGGAACCUAUCAGAAGAAAUAUAUAUAAGAGAAGAAACAGAGGAAAAAGAAGAAAAAAAAAUUGGAGGAAAUUGUAUUAAACCAGUGCUUUUGAUAUGCAUUGGAGUAGCAGCAGCAAAGUGAAGAAUUUUGUCGUUCUGAAAUAGUUGCAACCACAGUGGUACAGGUAUGAAUUUCUUUGUUACUUUAACUUUCCUUUAUUGGUGUUGCUUGAUCAGUCAUACCACCUUUGAUUGUUGCCUAAGUCUUGAUAUUGAACAUUCAAUUUGUUUCUUAAGUGGCUUUUUGAGUUGAUCAUUGACAUUUAACUCAAGACAUUGCAUAUUAUGUGUGUUAACUGAAAUUUUGAGUUGAUCAUAAUGUUGAAAUCUUGUGCUAUACGUAUGCUAUGAAGAUUGGUUGAUCAUAAUGAUUCUUAUGUUAAUGAAAGUUGAAUAGCCUGCUGCUGAGUUAUAUAACCAAUGUUUCUAGUUUCUAUAUGAAUUUUUGUCAAACGUGCUCUGUUUGUGAUCAUCAUCAUAUGUGAAUGCUGAGAUUGUAGAAUGGGGACUCUUGCUACUGCCUAUAACAUUAUGGUUCACUCUAAUGGGAACAAAAUCAGGAUUCCAUAGGUGGAUCCAACUGGUUAUACGUACAUCAACUUGCUGUUUGAUGUAACUGAGAAGGCAUUGAGUAAAAUGCCUGGGAAUGUUAAUGUGCUUAUGCAGAUGAGAUUUGAAAUUCCUAAAAAACAUUGCAUGAUGAAUAAUGAUGAUGAUUCAGUUGCUGAGAUGUUCAAAAUACACAAGUCUAAACUAGUAAUUAACUUGCAUGUCUCUGAUAUGGAAAUUAUUCUAGCUGAUGAAGAGAAUAUCUCAGUGAAUGUGAGAGUUAUGAACAAAGAAGAUAAUUUAGGUAUUAAACAAAUUCCUAGCAGGGCAGUUGUAGACCUUGGAGAGCUGGAUGAUGAUUAUGGUGACUCUAGCUCUGAUUCUUCAUGGAAACACAACCUACAUAGUGACAUUGAGGAGGAAGUAGUUGAUGAAAGGCCUUAAAUGCAUAUAGUGAGGACAGUGAUACUAAUUUUUCUGAUUUUAAGGGCAAUGAGGCUAAUAUUAUGGUUCUUGAUUCUGAAUUUGAGAAAGAAAAUGAUCCUAUGAGACUAGUAAUGAGACAAAAAAAUAUGGAUUUACAAUAGCAAAGAUGAGAUAGAGUUUCAAAAGAGUCAGCUAUUCAUCAAUGUGGAUGCCUUCUAAGCUGCCUUGAAAGACCAUUCGUUCAAAAAUGCUUUCCCAUUUUGAGAUUAAAGAAUGAGAAGAGUUGAGUUACUGCUAUCAAUGGUGUUGACGGAUAUUAAUGAAGAAUUCAUGCAUCACCAGUGGCUGAUUCAAUCACUUUUUAGAUUAAAACUUAUCAGCCAAAACACAUUUAUGUUAUGAACAAACAAUGUGCUGAGUCCACAUCUGACUGGAUGACCAAGAAGUUGGUUUCUGUUAUGAGGGAUCAUCCUAAUAUGACCAACAAAGGGAUAGAGACAGAGUUGCUUAACUAUGGUGUGAAGCGUAGUAAAAUGCAAAGUUUUACAGCCAAAAACAAAGCACUAGUUGAGAUAGAAGACACACAUACUGAAUCAUAUGAGAAAUUGCCAAGAUAUGCUGAGCUGCUAAGGAAAUAUAAUCCCAAUAGCAUAUGUAAAAUACAUUAUGACAGGUCAAAUCUCUUAGUUGAGCCUACCUUUCUAAGAAUUUUCAUCAGUUUAAAGCACAAAAGUUAGGAUUUCUGGAAGCGUGUAGGCCUUUGUGGGGUUUGAUGGUUGUUUCUUAAAGGGUCCAUUUGGUGGUGUACUUCUCAUAGCAAUUGCUUUGGAUUCAGCUAACAGCAUAUUUCUUUUAGCCUUUGCUGUAGCUAAAUGUGAGAGCAAGGAUACUUAGAGGUGGUUCUUCUACUAUUUUUCUGAGUUUUUUGGACCACUUGAUAACAUCAAACCUUUAACAUUCAUGAGUGAUAAGUAGAAGGUAAAAUUUGUGUCCAAAGCUUUUCAUGUUUUAGGACCUGUUUCGAACCUCAAUUUUUUGACAAGUUUGUUUGUUACUAGUUUUUUAACAAUUUUUGCUACAGGAACCCUAAAAAACUUGAAAAAAACUUUUGGGAGUUGUCUGAAACUUUUAAUGAAACGACCUCAUUUUGGCCUAAAAGCUUGCAAAAAACUUUCUGGUCAUAUACUAAAACGACGUCGUUUGGCUCAUUUUUUUGCCUGUCUUCAUCAAUAGCAAAGUAGAAGAUCUCUCCAUUUGUGUCAGCUCGUUGCACAGAAAGAAAGCUGCUCUAGUUGCUGCACCUCUGGAGAACCAAGCUACUCUUGCUUGUCGGAAGCUGAUAAACCCAAAGCGAAGCGGCGGGUGAAGUUGGUGAGACCUCUACUGGUUUAGUAGUCUUGCAGUCGAUCCAGCUUUGUUCACCGAAGGUUCAGCAUUUUGGAAGGAUCACUGAAGUCCGCCAAAGCCUACGGUGGCUGAUAGUUGUGUCCUCCACGACGGUCCGCCCAGCAACAACUACCCUUGUCCUUGCCGCUACAAAAGCCCUCUACUUUCAGGUGCCAAACAUCAGUACCACAACUUACUGAAUUGAGCUAGGUUGCUCCUUUUUUUUUUAGAUGCAGCUGAUUAUGUGUAUUUCCCGGCAAUGGCUGAGCAGUCGCUGUAUAUUAGAUUCCUUUCCAUUUGCUUCAUUUUUUCGUUAGUUUUCUAAAUCUUCUUGGCAAAAAAUAGUUGGUGGGAUUCUUGCUAAUUUUUAUGCCCUUUGUGGUACAUUUGUUCUCUUUUUGAUCUGAUAGUGCUAGAAUUGCUUCGAUAUGUGUUUUUUCAUCAUUAUUUUUUCUCUUUUCUUUCUUUCCUUUCGUGCAAAAUGUCAUCAUUAUUUUUUCUCUUUCUGAUCUGGCAUACUUCGGCUCACAUUCUUGCAAACUUCACCACAUCAUUUUGUAACUGGAAGUAAUUUGAUAUAUACUUGUCGUAAUGUUGGAAGUCCAAAAUUCUUCAGCAAGGAAAAAUUAUAAGUUUUCCCUUUGUCAUUCUUUAUGUUAACUUUAGCUAUUCAUGAAGCUCCAAACGACUCUAUCAAAAUUUUGAAUCUGGUUGUUCAUUGGGGGAACGACAGUUGUCAAUAAUUGCUGAGUGUUUGCUAUAAUAUGUUAACUAGGAAUUUUCCUAGUUUAGUUCAUAUGCUAUCAUAUGUCAACUAGAAAUUGCUUAUUAUGAUGCUAAUACCAGCUUUAUGAUUCUGUCAUUAGUUAAUUUCUCCCUCUUGUUUGGCCCAUUUUGUAGUAGUUAUUUUUUGAUCUUUUCUCUUUAAGGAUCUCAUUUGCAUCUAGAGCUUCUGGUUUAUUUCUUUUUUUUUUUACCAUCUAGAGAUGAUGCAUUUGGCCACAUCAUUCAUAGUUGAGUGGAUGUGGCAUUUAUAAAUUUAUGGGAUAAAAUAUCAGCUUAUUGUGCUCUAAAAGGUUUUUUUAUAAAUUUGAAGACUUCAUGUAGUUACAUUUGAUUUGUCCGUGGGUGAAAUUCGUUGAGACAAGUUACAAGGAGUUGUCGUAUUAAUGAAUCACCUGGGACUGCUUCUUCCCUAGUGAAAUGUUUAGAUGAUAUGCUAAGAAAUAGAAAGUAAUAUUGACAAAGGAUAAUGUAAGUUUCUGCUUAUAUAGGAUUAGCUUGAGAAAUCUUGUUGCUCUUUAUCUUUUUAUAGUUUAUAUGCAAUUAGAAGGUACGUUCAGAGUGUAUUUGCUAAGGCUAAAUGAAAACAUUAGUCUCAGUGAGUGUUUUCAUGACAUAGUGGAAAAGAUAUUGCAACAUUGAGAAAGUAAGUUGUGCAGUUGUUCUCUUGAGAAACAGAGGAUCACCUUGAAGAAAUUUUGUAAUCCGGCUUGUAUCUGUUUGAUGAAUAAGUUAUAUUGCAAAAUGUUCAGCCAAUACAUUUGAAGUCAUUUUGGUUUGCUUACUAGCAACAAGACAACUCUUGAGUUUUCCUUCUCCAGAGUGUUGGAAAUUGAAACAUAUCAUGCUAAACAAAAUUGCAUGAGUGCCUCGCCACUCCUGCUACUAUUGACUUUUCUACAACUUUGAACACAGUAUUCAUUUUAUUUUUGUGUCUCUGGUCUUCCUGUGCCUGCCCAAAUAAAAAUUGAAAGUCAAAAUGAAAUAAGUAAAUGGACAGAAAAAAGUACCUUAAUGCUAACAUUCUAUCUACAAAAAGUUUCUUGUGCAAUAUUUUUGUUGUGUUUUGAUUCGAGAAAAAUAGAGUUAGCAUAAUUUAUGGCCAAUUCUAUGUUUACUUUUUAAUAUUUUGAAUGUGGAAUUCCAUUAGGCAAUUUAGCAUAGGUUUCUACUUUAUUAUAGAAACAAAUAAUUAAGCUAUCCUCUACAAUUUGAGACGCAGGCAUACUUUCUUUUGUUAACAGGUUUAUGCUGCUGCGCACUAGAUCUAUUUCUAGAGGUUUGUAUUAGGGAAUUUCAAUUACUGUUACCUGCAUGUUGGAUUGUUUCCUUCUCCAGAGCUAACUAUCUUAUUUUUUUCACUAUUGGAAAACUCGUACUUCUUGAUCCUGUGAGCGCUUGCUAGUCCGAGUGUGGAGAGAAAGGCUUACAACUUUGCAUUACCAAUUACUUCAAGGUAUUCAUUACACGUGCUUCACCUGUUGUUCCAAAAUUGCUAUAUAUGCUGUGAAAAUAGAUGCUAGUCUCCCUUUUGCAUGCUUUAUGGCCAAUUUCGCUAAUAAAUAUGUUGUGCAUAAAGAUAAGAAAACAAAUGGCAAGUAAAGCUAUUUCAUCAAGGCAAGAUCGAGCCCAAUUUUCAAUGGAGAGAGAACUUGAAUUUGCGGAGUACUUGGUGGAAUUUAAAAGAGUUAAUAGAAUGAACAAGGGAAACCUGAAGAGUAAGGUCUUCCCCACAAUAAUUGAUAAAUUUGCUAAAAAAGGGUGCCAUUUUGACCUAUCUCAAAUCAAGGCAAAGUAUUAUGCAUUACACAGUCUCACACAAGAAUACAAUCGCAUGCGAUUGAGAGUCAUUGGGGCCGGCUGGGAUCCUCUCUUGCAUAUUGUAACCAUGGACGAAAGCCAAUGGCAAGCUGUGAUUAAGGUGGAUGCAUUAUUUUUUCCUGUUGUGUUACACAUACUUUUAGAUCAGCCCUAAUUUUUUGCGCCUACAUCUUAUGUUCUUUUUGGUGUUAAAUGUGUAGGAGAAUCUAUCAUUCGAGAAUUAUCACAAGAAGGACUGCCAUGUCUUCUACAUUUUGUUGGAGGUGUUUGACAAAAUGGAUGUCCAAAGGUGAUAUGUAAGGGAUUCAAACCAGCCAUCAGUUGACAUCAAUGGAAGAGGCAAAGUCAAUCACCAAACAAUAUGGGUGGACAAGGCCCAGAGCACGUGGACUUGACUAAUGAUAUGAACCCGCCUAUGCAGUCAAUUAGGAAAUCGGAUGCCAAACAUUCAAAAGGCAAAGGGAAAAGGAAGACGCUGGAAUCUUCAUCCGCCAGAAAUCAAGACAGCGACCUCCUGCGUGGUCUAAGUCGCAUUUCCUACAACAAUGCAAUAUCUUGGAUGGAUGUAACUUUCGCUUUCGAUUAGAGCACGUCUCGGAGCAUAGAUGCCUCACCUCUCCCACCUCCCAUAUCUGUUGCUGUUGCUGCUCCCCCAGUUUACUUGGAUGAUGGCCUUUAUUCGGUGGUUAAGGCAAACAAAGCUUUAGAAAAUAUAGAAGGCUUGCUCGAUAAAAUAGCGGUCACAGCAGCUGUGACCUUGGCUGAUUCCCCUGCCCAUCAGAGGAUAUUUUUGAGUCAGAAGAGUAAGGUUAGGAAGCGGUUAUAUGCACUAAAGAUUAGGAGGGCGAACUAGAUGACUGAGACCAUUUCUGCCUAGAGCGUCUUCCCAUUUUAGAUUGCUUUGAACAUAUGUGUUAAUGUAAUAGAUUUUCAUUCAUGAUUGCCAGAUGCUUGUUUUCUUUGUUGGGACAAGUUUAAACAAUAACAGCUGUGACUUUUCAUGGUUUGGAUCAUGUUAAGACUUACCAAAAUAGUGCUCCAUUUCAAAUACUUGACUUGUUCAAAAUAAUAAAUAUGACUUUUACUUCAAUAUAAGAGUAACUUCUAAGUUGAUAUACUUGUUAAUUAUUUUAUUUGGUGCUUAUCCGUCACAUGUUUUCAAGGUGUAGGUGUUGCCUUUCUCGACAUAAAUGGAUAGGGCUCCGCCUAAUUUUGGAGUGAAUUUAGAUGACCCAAAUGAUGCAAGAAAUACUGCAACUGUUGUGCUAAUACUAUCGUGACACUUUCAAAGGCAUCAGGUACCAAGGACAAGACAGCUAGUCCGAACAAGUGCUAUGUCAGGUUAGGACUGGGUUGACGAGCUGUUGGACGGACAUUGCACUAGGAUGCUCGAGAACAUGCACAUGAGUAUGGCUACGUUUGUUCAGCUAUGCCGAAUAUUACGGGAAGGUGGAUACAUUACUGAGGGUUCCUGUGAUAAAGUGUCUUUAGAGGAAGGAGUAACAGUUGCUUUAUAUGGUGUGAGCCAUGAUUUGACACAAAGAGUGCAAGGUGAGCGAUUCCAGCAUUCCACUGAGACAAUUCAUCGACAUGUGCGUCGGCUGUGUCAGGCCUUAGUGCAAUUAGCACCUAUUGCAUUCCGACAUAGGAACACAGAUGCUACUCAUCCUAGAAUACGGAAUAAUAGAUGGUUUUAUCCCUGGUUUAAGGUACUUGCCCCUCUCCCUAAAAUACUAAAUUAAAUUGCAUAUAACUUAUGGCAAAACUUGUAAUGUAGAAUGCAUUAGGACUAUUGAUGGAACCCAUGUCUCGGUAAGAGUGCCAAGAGAGGAACAUGAUGCCUUUCGUAAUAGAAAGGGCACGAUUUCACAAAAUAUUUUACUGCAUAUGACCAGGAUAUGAGGUUUGUAUACGUCAGAGCUGGUUGGGAAGGUAGUGUCCAUGAUAGUUGUGUUUUGUUGGAUGCUAUUUCCAAUUCCAGUGCAGUAUUUCCCGUACCAUCGAUUGAAAAAUAUUACGUAGUUGAUGCAGCGUAGAGACACAUGCCAGGUUUCAUGGCCCCUUUCAAGAGUGGUUCAGGAAGGAGGUCACAGACAGCACAGAAACGAUUAUUUAAUCGCCGCCAUUCUUCAAUUCGAAAUGUGACAGAGAGAACGUUUGGGGUAUGAAAAAUGAGAUUUAAAAUUUUGAAAGAUCCUAUGAAAAACUAUCCUAUUAGGGUACAGAGAAACAUUGUAGUGGCGUGCUGUGUACGGCACACUUUCAUUAGGGAAAUGCAGCCAUAUGACUUUUACUUGACGGAUGCUGCUAAUAUGGAUAUCGGAGGUACUGAGGGAGCUCAAAUGCCACAAUUUCAAGUCACUCUAGAAGCACUCCAUGAUUGGAAGGAAUUAUGAAAUGCAAUGGCUGAUCACAUGUAGAUGCACCGAAAUAAGUAGUAUAUGGUGGCUUGUCCUAGUUUCCACACUGAUUACUGUAGGAAUCUUAAAUGCGUAAUCUUAGGAGAUAUUUUAGGUAAAUUGAAUGAGUAAUCUUAGGAGAUAUUUUAGGUAAAUUAGUGGAGGAAAUUAGGGUGAAUAAACUGUCUCUAAAAUUAACGGAAUUAGGUGUAGACUUUCCUUGUUUAGUGUACCAGAAAAUUGUAUAUAUAGAUUAGAAUGAAUUGUAGGAAAUAUACUGAAUUAAUAAAAUCUUUUUGAUUCUUUUACAACAUGGUAUCAGAGCUCGUCUAGGGUUCUGGAAAAAAAAAUCACCUUUGCUUCUUGUCAAUUCCAGCCUUAAUUGCUGGUUCCUUUCUUAUUCUCUCCAGCCUUCAUUGUUUUUCCUUUUACUAUACAUGUUUUUCUUCCCACCAAUUACUUGAUUCUAUUCAAUCAUGGCGGAUGCUACAUUCUCAACGCGACAAUUGUCUUUAACUGUGGAAGAGGAACAAAUUACACGGAGCACAACAAAGGUUCAAAACAUCCAGGCAGCAUAUAGACUAAAUGAAAAAAAUUAUUUGAAGUGGUCUCAAUUGGUUUGAACAUUCCUGAAAGGAAAAGGAAAGUUGAGUCAUCUAUUAGAAAUAGCACCGGAUAGUGAAACGGCGAGGUUUGAAGCAUGGGAAAAAGAGGAUUCAAUGAUCAUGUCUUGGUUAUGGAAUUCCAUGAUUCCUGAAAUUAGCGAUAGGUGUAUGUUUCUUCCUACAGCAAAAGCAAUUUGGGAUGCCCUUCAUCAGACAUGUUCCAAGGUUAAUAAUGCAGCUCUUAUCUAUGACAUUAAGACAAAGACAACUGGAGCAAAACAAGAGACAAAAAUAGUGACGGAGUAUGCCAAUUUUUUGCAAAACCAGUGGCAGGAACUGGAUUAUUACAAGACACUUGAUUUGAAUUGUAGCAAAUGUGUAGUGUUUAUCAAAAAGUUCAUAGAAAGGGACCGAGUUUAUGAUUUUUUGACUGGCCUAAACUCUGAAUUCGAUCUUGUACAAAUUCAAAUUCUAGGCAAGUCAGAAUUUCCCUCUCUAACCGAAGCAAAUCCCAGGUACGUGCAGAAAAAAGUCGCAGGGGUAUUAUGUUAGAAUUACCUUCAAUGGAAAAUUCAGCUCUUUUAAUUUCCAAACCUCAGCGGUUGGACUAGCUAAGGAGCAUGAUGGACUUUAUUACUUGGAUACAUCAAGUCAACCAGAAUCUAGUAAAUCUGUCAUGUCCAUAUUGUCUUCACCCUCCAAUAAGGAUGUCAUCUAGUUGCAUCAUAGACAUCUAGGUCAUGUGUCUUUUUCUGCACUAAAAAUAAUGUUUCCCUCCUUGUUCAAGGAAUUUGAUGUUCAGUAUUUCCAUUGUGAUAUUUGUGAGUAUGCUAAACACACUCAUGUACCAUUUUCUAUCGUCUUCUCCUUUCUUUUUAAUCCAUAGUGACAUUUGGGGGCCAUCAACUAUUCCAACCAUCUCAAGGUCUAAGUGGUCUGUCACACAUUUAUCGAUGAUUGCACAAGAGUCUCUUGGAUCUAUUUACUCAAAAAUAAGUCUAGUUUGAGUCAUAUUUUCCCUGUUUUUCAUGCAAUAACUCAAAAUCAAUUUGGAACCAAGAUAAAAUACUUUGUUCAGAUAAUACUCGUGAUUAUUUCAAUCAAACCUUGAGUUUGUUUUUCCAAAAAGAAGGAAUCAUACAUGAAUCAUCCUGUAUCAUCACUCCACAACAAAAUGGAGUGGCAGAACGAAAAAAUCGACAUCUUCUUGAGUGCUCUAGAGCCAUACUGUUUAAACAAAAUAUGCCAAAAGCAUAUUGGGGAGAAGCUGUACUCAAAUCAACUUAUGUCAUAAAUAGGAUUCCUUACAGGAUCUUGGGUUUUCAAAGUCCACUAGAUAACCUAUCCAAAUUCUACCUCUAUAUUCGAUCUUCCUUUCAUCUCACUCCUUGAAUUUUUCGAUAUACUUCCUUUGUUCAUGUCCAUAGUCAUAACCGUGGGAAAUUAGAUUCUCGUGCUCGUAAGUGUGUCUUCGUGGGGUACUCAUCUACUCAAAAGGGUUACAAAUGUUAUCAUCCACCUAAUAGAAAACUCUAUGUCUCGGCAGAUGUUACAUUUGUUGAAAAUAAACCCUAUUUCAUCACUCCUUAUCUUCAGGGAGAGUUAGAUACACUUGGAAAUAAGGAGUUAAAAUUUCACCUUUUAGAGUUGUCCAAAUCUGAGUCAUCCAAACCUGAAUUCGAGAGUCAAUUCCUCAAUCUGAUGUGGUAGAAGGAAAAAAAGAAGAAGAUCGUAAAAUCUAUGACUGGUUCCGAUUUGACCAAGUGUAUAUAAGGAAAGAAGAUCCCAUUGUAGUUACAAGGCAAGACCAAUCCUCUGAACCAAGUUUCGGGAAUGACGUAACAAUGAGCGAAUCAAAUCUGAAUUCUACACCACCGACUGACCAUUCUUCCAGCACUAAAUCACCUUGUCAUGAGCCUCUUAGCCUUGACCAGGACCUACAUCUACCUGUUGCUGUAAGGAAAAAAACCCGAGAAUGCACCAAAAGACCCCUAUACCCAUUGUCUCACUUUGUGUCUUUUGAGAAGUUUUUCCCAAACCAUCAAAACUUCCUUUCCACCUUAAACAUAGUCUCUAUUCCUAAUUUAUUGUCUGAAGCAUUAUCAAAGAAAGAAUGGAGACUUGCUAUGGAAGUACAAAUGGAUGCAUUAGAGAAGAAUGAGACCUAGGAAUUAGUUAAGUUACCAAAGAACAAGAAAGUAGUGGGCUGUAAGUGGGUGUAUGCAGUAAAGUUUAAGACAGAUGGGUCCCUAGAACGCUAUAAGGCGAGAUUAGUCAUGAAAAGAUACACAUAGACAUAUGGAGUAGAUUAUAGGGAAACGUUUGCUCCAGUAGCAAAGAUGAAUAUAGUAAGAAUUCCGCUAUCUUUGGCUGUUAAUUUUGAUUGAGAAUUGUAGCAGUACGAUGUGAAGAAUGCUUUUCUUCAUGGAAAAUUAGAAGAGGAGAUUUAUAUGAGCAUUCCACCGGGAUUUAGUGGGAUUGACAAGAACAAGGUUUGUUCGUUAAAAAAGACAUUAUAUGGGCUGAAACAAUCCCCACGUGCUUGGUUUGGAUGAUUUGCCAAGGUAAUGAUAGCUAAUGGUUACAAGCAAAAUCAAGGAGAUCAUACUCUGUUCAUCAAGCAUUCAGUCUUCGAGGAAGUUACUGUUUUGAUUGUAUACGUGGAUGACAUUAUAGUGACAAGAAACGAUGAAGUAGAGAAAAAAAAUUUGAAGUGGUGCCUAGUCAAGGAAUUUGAAAUAAAGGAUUUAGGAAAAUUGAAGUAUUUUCUAGAAAUUGAAGUGGCUCGAUCAAGGCAGGAAAUUUUUAUUUUUCAACAGAAGUAUGUUAUGGAUCUGCUCAAGGAAACAGGCAUGACAGCGAGCAAACCAGUUGGAACUCCUAUUGAACAGAACCACAAAUUAAGUGAGGCUUAUGGAGAUAAAGUAGUGGACUGAGAGAUGUACCAAAAACUUGUUGGGAAAUUCAUUUAUCUCGCACAUACUAGGCCAGAUGUAGCUUAUUCAGUCAGUGUUAUUAGUCAGUUUAUGCAUGAUCCUAGAGGAGUUCAUCUACAAGCAGUUUAUCAAGUGCUUCAUUACUUAAAGGCAUAUCCAGGGAAGGAAAUUUUAUUCAAAAGGGUCCUGGGAUUGAUCUGGCAAUUACACAGAUGCAGACUUUGCAGGGUCUCUAGUCGACAAGCGAUCAACUUUGGGAUAUUGUACAUUUCUUGGAGGAAACUUAAUAUCCUGGAGAAGCAAGAAACAAAGUGUGGUAGCAAGGUCAAGCGCUGAAGCAGAAUUUAGAGCUAUGGCAACAGGGAUAUGUGAAUUAUUGUGGGUUAAAAUUAUCCUAGAAGACUUGAGGAUUCAAUGGAGCAAACCGAUGAAGCUAUACUGUGAUAACAAAUCUGCUAUAAGUAUAGCUCACAACCCAGUGCAAUAUGAUCGGACGAAGUACAUAGAGAUAGAUAGGCACUUUAUUAAAGAGAAGCUAGAAAAUGAACUGAUUUGUACUCUGUAUGUUCCGACAGGACUUCAACUUGCAGAUGUGAUGACAAGGGACUGUGUAGCAAUAUGUUUCAUGAGAGUGUUGUCAAGUUGGGAAUGGACGAUCUAUAUUCACCAGCUUGAGGGGGAGUGUAGGAAUCUUGAAUGAGUAAUCUUAGGAGAUAUUUUAGGUAAAUUGAAUGAGUAAUCUUAGGAGAUAUUUUAAGUAAAUUAGUGGAGGAAAUCAGGGUGAAUAAGUUGUCUCUAAAAUUAAGAGAAUUAAGUGUAGACUUUCCUUAUUUAGUAUACCAGAAAAUUAUAUAUAUAAAUUAGAAUGAAUUGUAGUUAAUAUACAGCAUUAAUAAAAUCUCUUUGAUUCUGUUACAACAAUUACUUGAUUCCCAUGUAGUCCAAACUAGUUUUUUGUAUAAUAUGACUCUUUUUUAAUAUUUGUUGAAUAUUUGGUAUGUAAUAAUUGAAGCCUUCUGGUGAUAUACUUGUUUACUAGAUUCCUUGCCACUUAUAUGAAUGCGGCGUUUUCACAACUUCCCCUAAUUAUUUUGGCAAAACAAAUAAUUUGCAUACUUAUUUGAGAUUGCAUAUUACUGUGAAAUAUAUGAAAAUCGAUACGUUGACCUAUUUGUAUCAACUGGUUGAAAAAGUGAAAAAAAAAUUUUGCUAUAGUAAAGUUUAUAAAAAACUUAUAUAGUAAAAUUUUUUUACAACUUCUACAGUGAUCUACAGUAAAGUUUUAGACAAAUUUCUAAAAAACUUAGAUUCCAAACGGGGCCUUAAUCUGGAAGUCAUUGCUGAGUCAUUUUGUUUUGGUCAUAGGGAUUGAAUCUUGCUUAUGAGGAAAUAAUUCCUAAGGCAGUUGAAAGGCAUUGCUGUAGGCAUAUAUGCAGCAAUUUCAAGAGUCAAUUUCCAUGUAUCUUACUUAGCAAUUUUUUCUAAAAGGCAACUAAAAGCUAUGAUUCAAUAGGACAAAAUGAUGCAAUAGCAAGUAUUAAAAACAUUAACAUAAAUGCUUGGAAAUAUAUGAAUAAAACCCCAAGAAUUGCCUCGUGUAGACUCGUAUUCUCAACUGAGUUGAAGUGUGACCAUGUCACAAAUAAUUUUACCGAGUCUUUUAAUGCUUGGAUUGAUGAUCUAAAAGGAAAGACCAUAUUCACUUUGGUUGAUGGUUUAAGAAGAAAGUUCAAGAAAAAAAAAUGCACAAAAGGUACCAGAAAGGGUGCACCUUGACUGGUUACAUUACUCUCAGAAUUGUUGAGAAACUAAAAGAAAUUGGCCAAGUAUCAAGAAAAUGUGAGAUGCAUAUGGCUAGUGAAAACACAUUCGAGAUUGGUGAUAUGGACAAAACCUACAUAGUCAACUUGAGCCAAAGAAUUUGUGAUUGUGGUGCUUUUCAACUUUUUGGAAUUCCAUGCAAGUAUGCAGCAUUAGGAGUUAUAUACAUAGGAGAGAAAAACUAGAGAACUACUAUGAAGCUUGGUUCACCAAAGACAUGUACUUAAAAACUUGUUUCCACAUGAUUCAUCCCAUUCCUGAUGUGAAAAGAUGGCCUCCUAUGCCUGAAAUGAUGCCAACAACUAUGUUGCCACCACUUCUGAGAAGAGCUCCUAGUAGACCAAAAGUAAAUAGAAGAAGAGAAACUGAUAAAACUGCUUGCACAGCAUAGGCAAAGAGGUCAAGCACUCUUAAGUGUGGAAAUUGUGGAACUUUUUGUCACAAUAAGAGUACUUGCAAAGGAGCACCUAUGCAGAAAAGGAAUAGCAACAAUACUCCUGCUGAACAGGUAUACAUUGGCCAAAAUAUGGUAAUAACAGUUGUAUCCUAACUAUUACUUACAACUAUACUGAAUUUGGAAUCACGGAUAGCAAACAGAAAAGGCAGAUGAGGCAAAGGAAUGGCUAAUGCAGGCUUGUCAGCAGCUGUUCUCUAGGUAAAUUGCAGUUAUCAUAAUCAUUCCUCCCCUACUUGAGUUAUAUAUAGCAAAUCUCAUUGCAACUUACAUCUCAUGUUUUAGGAUCAUGCACAAGGAAAUAUACCUGUUGUACAUUCCAAUCAAGGGAGCAAUCAAAGUCCUCUAAGUCAUAAUGGAGCAAUACAUGUUCAAGUGAAUGUGCAAACUACUACAACUACUCAUGCUAAUAGAAAGGUAUGCCAAUGAUCUGCUAUCCCAUAUUUUUGUCAAUAACCUAACUAGUAGCUACUAUUUUUUGUCUAAUGUAGUUUAUGUCUCAAAUGUAAUAGAAAGAAAGGCCUUUUGGACACAAUCCUGCAAGUCCUGCAGCAAGAGUUGGUGGUAGGACCAAAAAAUCCAAGUUUGCUCUAACUAAUCCUGUUGUUCCAAUUUCACCGCUAUUACAUCUCAAAAUGCUAAUUUGUUAGCAUAAACGCAUCUACAAAUUAGCAUCCCAAAAAUUAGUAGUACCAGUAGUUUCAGCAUGCUGUUUUGACAAGUUUGCUAAAUUCCAGUUGUUAGUUAUGUCUACUUGAACCUCUUUUGUUAAUGCUUUUGUUAAUGUCUUCUUACUUACAGUCAUUAAGAACUGUGGAAUUGCAAUCCUCACCAUUUGCAUAUAGUGUUUGAUGUAGAUGGUGUUUUGUACUAUUGGAUUGUAGUGAUGCACACGUGGUCUUCUUACUGAUAUGCUUAAGACAUUUUAGCUAAUGUAGUGUCCUUAUUUGAUCUUUAAUUUCGUUUGCUUUUCAUACAUAACUAUUUGCAAACUUGGCAUAGUGGAUGACUAAGAAAUAAUGUAGCUGUUCAUUACUUCACUCUGAAAUCUAAAAAGCUGUGUACAUGGGUUUACAUUGGUGCUUAAAAGAAUUCCAACUAACUUAGCCUUUUGGUAUGAAUCUCUUAUCACCAGAAAGGGCAUCAUUUAGUUUGUACAAUCUUGCAGUAGAUUAACAUGAGUUCAUUGAAUUGAUUUUAUAAUAGUGUGAGGUUUAUAGCUAAUAAAUAUUUGAAUGAAAAUAAAUAUAGCUAUUAGUGUGAAGUUUAUGAUGAUCAGCACAUUCCCAAAGGCUCUUGGUUUCAGAAAUUACUUUGGCUCUUGCAUUGGCCCCUCAACUUGCUUGACUAGAAUGCCAUCUCGGUUUCUACUUUUAACUAGUCCUCUCUUUGCAUUGAGGUUGCUUCUUUUGCUAUUUACUUCUUCUUUUUCACCUCCAUCAUACCAUUCAAAAUACCUGCACUUUGCACAACGGAAAUACAACUUGUCCAGAUUCUUUUCACUCUCUGAUAUCAUCACGGUUGCCUUGCGAUUACAGUGGCAAAACUUGUUUUCAAUGGAGAAAGAUGUGAGUGAAUUCCAUGAUUCUCCCCUAUGGCUUGAAGAGGCCAUAGUUGCAGGUAAAACUUUUAACUCUGAGCUCUAAACACAGCACAACAAAUUAACUUUGUUAGCACUCCAAAACUUGUAGCAAAGAAUGAUAAUAGGUUGAGGGUGUAGAGGUAGUUAAGCUGCUUUAUAUACUAUUGCUACUGAAACAAAAAUUUGGCCAUUGCAAUUUGCAGCUAGCCGUUGCAAUUGCUGCCAAAUAACUGUUACAAGGCAAAUCUUGUACUUACAAGUUUUUGUAUUGCACUUACACCCCCUCAACUUUAGUAAUCAUUCUAAUCAUUUAAUCUUCUUUUAAUCUUCUACUAAUACAAGGAGAAAAAGGGUAUCCAUGGAAUAAAAAUACCUUCUCACACAUGAAAAUAGUAUUGUAAUAUGAUUUGGAUUGCAUUGUUACCAAAAACUCAAAAGCAAGGGAGUCAGUGAAAUUUUGAGAACCUCAAGGGAUGUUAGUGAAAGUGUCAAAAACCUCCCCUGAGAUUUCUGAAAUUAUCCCUAAAAAGUAAUAUUAGGGCACGCCAACUAAUGAUGUCAUUUACUAGUGAAUUUGGUUUGAGUAUCUUGUUCUUUUUUUAUUUUCUAUUUUUUCAAAGAAUGAAUUAUAAAUGGAAGAAAAAAGACAAUAACGGAAAAUGAAACGUGGAGGGUUAAAUUUUCCUGCAAACAAAAUGAAGCACAACCCUUCAAUUUGGAAUGGUCUUAUUACCUUGUUCAUUGGGAUGAUCGCACCACUUUAUUUAAUUUUAUAGGAUAAUCACAUAUAUAUACAUUGUAAGAACACGAACCCCUGCAUUUUGCACAAUGGAUUGAUUCCCCAGUCCAUUUGUAUUUUCGCUGAUCCGCAUGUGCCAAUUUAGCAUAAUAUCAUUUCAUAUCUUAAUCCUAUUCUACCGGUUAGCUAAAGAUAUUUAAUCGAGUUAGAUAUACAUGGUUAACAAAGAAAAUAAUACAGCUUAUGUCCAAAUUAAAAGGGAGAUAGGUUCAUUAGUUAAGAAUUAAAAGGGAGACAGGUUCAUUAGUUAAGUUCAAAACUUGAAUUGGUUUAAGUUCAAAGUUGAACUUAGUUUACACGUAAAUGACUAAAUGGUUGGUUGAAGUUCAGGUACCUGUUAAUUUAACCAACUAAACACAUAUGCAGGUAGGUUUGGGUAACUGCCCUUUUGAAAAUUGAAAAAGAUACUGAACCUAUUUUCCAAUUAGGUUGUGGUAACUUAAUUAUUUGAAAAUUGCAGGUUGCUUAUUCUGUUUUUGAUUUGGAAUAGUUUGAUUUUCUCAAUUAUCCACUUUUUUAGUUUUUUUUUUUUAACUCUCCUAGGGUAAACACUAGUUUAGUACGUCAAAUAUGGUUUGAGUUGGAUAUAUUUGGGAAAUUCCAAUAUUUUAUAUCAUAGAGUAGAGUUUUUAAUGCAUCGAACUGCUUGUGUAUAUGUUUCUAUUUGCUUCAUUCAAGUUCGGAAAAGACUCGAUUAUAUAAUAAAUAAUCGAGUUCAAAUAUAAUGUUAGACACAUUUAAAAAUCAAACUGUACAUGAACUUGUUCGCAAACUGCUCGAAUAGAUUCAUGAAUACAUAUAUAAUAAAUAUAAAAACCUUAUACAUGGUUAAAUAUGGGCAUAUACACCUUGUAUUUUUCUCUUAAAAAAGUAAUUAUACACAACAUUAUUAUUAUUAUUAUUAUUAUUAUUAUUAUUAUUUAUUUUCGAAAACAAAACCAAUUUAAUUACAUCUAUGCUAAACAAUGUAUGAGAAAUUUGUGGUUUCAAGUGAAGGUGUUGGAUAUUCCUUUCACGAGAUUACACAAUUUGAAAUGUCCUUGAUGUCAAAUUUCAUCAUAAACUCAAAACCCGCAGCCAAAACCUAUAACCCUUUAUGCAAUUGGAAAUCAAUAAGAGAAAAAACCACUACCUCAUUCUCCCGAUGAUCAUCAUGAUGGAGACGCCAAACUGCAAAUGCAACAUCAUUGUUGGAAUUUUGCUUGAAAAAGAAGAGAAGAAAAAUCCCAAAAAUCCUUGAACAGAUAUUUGAUUUAGUAAAAAGGAAAGAAGUGUUAACAUCUAAAAUCUUGCCUCUUAUACGUUAUCUUGAUGUCAUUUUUGGAGGACUUCCUUACCAAGGCAGUGGUGGCUAUAAUUGCUAUCGCAACAUUGACUAUCCAUUUACAAAAUGAAAUCAACCAAUUCUGAUUCUUGUGGACUUAGUGGAAUGCUUAAAACCCAAAUCUGCCUUUGUGAAAAUUGUGGUUGACAUCUUGAGGCUUGAUAGAGUUUCUACAGGAAGAUACGCAUUAGUGCAUAUGAAAAACCAUGGCUAACAAAAUAAACCCCAUUAAUACACCCAAUUAUCCUACUACCUCUGAAAGUUUGGGCAGACCCAAUUGAUUAUGGGUUCACUUAAAUUGUAUUGCCUAUAAUCCAAUUAUCUUGGCCUGGUUAUGUUUUUGACUGGAUAUUCUGUAGGUAGAAUACUUUUUUCUUGUCCUUUACUUUUCCUUCUCUUUCUUUCUGUUUUUUUCCCCCUUUUUCUUUUCAUUUCCUCCAUCUUCUUCUUCCUCUGGUUGAGAAGAUUGCCACUGCUCGCCAGCAGCAUCGUUGACUAGCAUUGACUUUUUUUGUUGUUGUUGUUGUCAAAUACCAUACACGGAGAAGGAAUGUCAACCCUUAUUUUAGUAAUUAAACUAAGUAAAUGAAUGAAGAGAGAAGUAUAAACGUAACUUGGGAUGAUUUUACAUGAAUCAACUCAUUUUUGCAUGCUAAAAUAUAAAUUUCUUUUUCUCAAAUUCUUGCUUGAAAGCAACCCACAUGCAUCCCAACAAUGGUGGGUCUGCCCCCGUUACAUAAUAGUUUAAAUAAAUCAUCUCAUUAUUUACAGUGAAUGACACCCAAUCUUCAAAUCCAAAAUAGCUUAAAGAUCUUAGCAACGACCGAUUUUAAAGUCAUAUCACAGAACUUACUCCAUUGUAGGAAAAGUUUGUGCCUUCACUGGUGCCGUACGUCACCAAUUAUUUCUUGAAUUCUUUAUUGACUAAAUUAUAUGUUAACCUCCUUAAAUUUGUUACUUCAUAGUUUGACCCCCUAAACUUUUUGUUUCGGUUUAUUUUGCGUUUUCCCAUCCUUGCAAAGUACCCAGAGAGGCUGCAAACCAUUGAAUCUCAUGUUUAGGACCUUCAAAAAUUUUGCUUUCUUUUUUUAUGUGGAGUACAUUUUCAAGUGAGAGAUUACCUUCAUUUCUACUUCCUAUGCAUGAUUUAGUUAUGUGAUAUUAGCCUUUAUCAGAAUUAAAGCAACAUUGUUGCUUAUGAUGAAGGCCAAACUCACGAACUUGAUAAAGGUAUUUUUCUCUAGGAUUCAAUCUUCGACCUUCCAACCAUUACAAACCAUGAAACUUGUAAGGAAAUGGCAUAAGAUAAGCCUCCAGAGACUGAUUAUAUUCAUGAGAUUGAGUGAAUACGAGAGCAUAGGUCCCAUCAACUAUUCAAAUUAUAGAAGCAACAGAACAAGUCUUAUAUGAUAUAGGCUCUAUGGGUUUAAUAAGAAUAAUUACCUUGGAAUCACUUAUAAAAAUGAUACAAAUUUUAUACACCUCCAUUGGGUUGAUUGGAGGAGAUAAGAAUGCUUUAUGGUGGGAUGAAACUGUGCCACCAUAUUUUUUUUGUAUUGAGGUGUUGGUAGGAUAGUAAAGGACGUGGAUAAAUUAAUUCUAGAUAAAGUCAACAACUUAGAAGAAUUUUGACAAGUAAUUAUUGCCUUCAAAAAUUUUCUGUGACAAUUAUAAAGAUGUCAAGAAAUUUUUUUAGAAAAUAUAUUUUAAUACAUGGUGUAAUUUAAGUUGCAUUGAAAAUUAAUAGAAUCUCUUCAUACAUGUGGUUUGUAAUGUAAAUCCUACUUAUAAAAAAAUUAUAAAUAAGUCAGAACUAAAAAACUUAAUAAAAAAUGAUCUAUAUAUAUAUAUAUAUAUAUAUAUAUAUAUAUAUAUAUAUUCUAUGUUUUCUUUAAAAACAUCUUUCAUUAUACUAGGUAAUAAUGGUUGUACAUCUACAAAAUUACCAAUUAUUGCAUUUGUAACUACUCUUAUUUUCAUAUUUUUACUUUUUAACCUUAUUUUAUUUUUUUAUUGUUGUUGUAAGCUUCAUAAAUAAGAUAACAUAAGGAUAGUAUUGGAACAAAAUUUGUAUCUUUCUUGCAUUUUUUGUAUUGAGGUGUUGGUAGGAUAGUAAAGGACGUGGAUAAAUUAACUCUAGAUAAAGCCAACAACUUAGAAGAAUUUUGACAAGUAAUUAUUGCCUUCAAAAAUUUUCUGUGACAAUUAUAAAGAUCUCAAGAAAUUUUUUUAGAAAAUAUAUUUUAAUACAUGAUGUAGUUUAAGUUGCAUUGAAAAUUAAUACAAUCUCUUCAUACAUGUGGUUUGUAAUGUAAAUCCUACUUAUAAAAAAAUUAUAAAUAAGUCAGAACUAAAAAACUUAAUAAAAAAUGAUCUAUAUAUAUAUAUAUAUAUAUAUAUUCUAUGUUUUCUUUAAAAACAUCGUUCAUUAUACUAGGUAAUAAUGGUCGUACAUCUACAAAAUUACCAAUUAUUGCAUUUAUAACUACUCAUAUUUUCAUAUUUUUACUUUUUAACCUUAUUUUAUUUUUUUAUUGCUGUUGUAAGCUUCAUAAAUAAGAUAACAUAAGGAUAGUAUUGGAACAAAAUUUGUAUCUUUCUUGCAUUUUCUCCAAAGGAGCUAAAUGUGACAAAAAUAUCAAUCUAAAAGAGGUAGAUGAGAUUUUAAAAUUUUAAGGGGUGCUAAAUUAAAUUAUGAGAAACAUCAGGGGAGAUUUCUGAAAUUAUCCCAUUCAUAAAAUACUACUUUUAGCAUAUAUUCAGGCUCAAUAGUCAAUACUCCUUUAGGCCUCGACUGCCUGUUGCUCCACAGGGAAGAAUGCGCUCCCAGAGGAGCACUUUAUCCUCCAUCUAUAGAUCCAAAAUGCAGGAUUUGGUUCCAAAAGUUGGUUUCCAGAAAGGUAGCGACUCAUCAAGCCCUUUUUUGGCUGGUGCCAUUCUACUUACUAGUGCUAGUGAUGUGCUAUAUCCAACAAAAGGUAUAGCUGGGCCAGAUCAUCGGGCCAUCACCUCAAGAAUCUCGACUUGGCCCCGUUAAAGUUGUUGUCGUGAUCCCUUGGGUAAUUGCUUGGAAGAUGAGUCUCGUGAACUUUACUUGUCAUCAGCUAGCCACCUUGGUUAGAGAUGCCCUAGUUGCAUCUAUCAAAUUUAGUUAUACUAGCAUAUUGACCGUGUUAUGCACAAUUUGAGGCAAAAGAAAAAAAAUUUCUCAUAACUUUCAAUUUUGCUUUAUACUUUUAAAAUGUACUUAUAUUUGUAUCUUCAACAUAAAAGCACCAGGUUUAGUUAUAUGUGAUAUAAAUUUGGAUUGAAUGGUGUCAAUUUUUUUUUAAAAAAAAGUUUAUAGUUUAUUCCAUAUUCACCCUCCACAUUGAAAAGUAAAAUUGGAAGCAAAAGAAAAAAACUCAUAACGUGCAAUUUGGUUUAACAUUUUUAGAAUACAUAUAUUUAACUUAACCUCCCAUAUUAUGAAAACUAUACAAAAUCAAGAAUUGACCACAAUGGUUGCAAAUAUUGGCAUAUAGAAAUGCAAAUAAAAAACUAAUAGAAAUAUCUUAUAAUAUCCUCGACAACUACAAAAAAAUAAUAAAAAAUAUUUAGAAUAUAAAAAUGACAUGGUAGUGUUAUAUAUUUACAUAUGAAGAAUAUGAUAAAAAAUGCACAAAAUAGUCAAUAACACCCAAGGUUAUUUGUAGUGGUUGGCUUUUACACUCUUAUUCAAACCUAAUUAAUUAGUAUCGAAUUUAGAUAAGAUAUAUACAAAUUGAGUAGAUAUAGUUUACAGUGAAAUGUUCUAUAUUUUUCUCUUAAACUAUAUUGUUAUCUUUUUCUCUAUUUUUGGUAAGACUAGCAUUUUUUUAAAUUUUAUUAAAAAUAAAAAUUUUAAAUAAAAUUUUCCACUUUGAAGGAUGGUUAGGACUUUGUUUUAAUUUAGUGAUUUCAUAAUUUAGGUUUCAGGAAUAUUAUUGAUUUUUAAAUCCAUUACUAAUGAAUAUUAUUUCUUUUUUAUAUAUAUAUAGUUUGUCCUUUUAGUUAGGAUUACUAGUUUGAAAGGUAAAAUAUUAUAAUUUGCUAUUUUACUUUUAGUAGGACUUAUGAUGUUUCAUCUAUAUUUGCCUUUAAUGAAUAAACUUCAAACCAAAUUUGUAUAUUAGUGGAGUAACUUUUUAUAUUUAAAUUCAAAAGGAAUGACGGAAUAUUUAAUAAUUAAAAAUCCAAAAAUCUAAAAUAAAAAUAAAAAAAGAAUAUGGAGUUGGAAGCAUUAUGAUUUUACCAUCAUCAAAAUCCAAUUUUGCAUCCUUUUCACCUUCCUUGUUUUUCAUCUUUUAUUCAUUAACUUUGAGGCAUCCAAAACUUCAAAUGAAGUGUUGGGCUUAGACGCCAUACCACUUUAUUUAUUUUUUUAAAUUUUUAGUAAAAGAGAAGUGAGACUUAAGAAAUGCGAGAGAGAUUUGAAACGAGAAUCUAAUUCCUGAUACUUCAACUUUAACGAGAUGAUCAAAAUCUCCUCGGUAGCUGCCAUACCACUUACUAGUGCUAGCUAGUGUUGUGGUAUAUCCACUAAGGGUAUGGCUGGGUAAGAACAUCGGGCCAUCACCUCAAGAAGCUCGACUUGAUCCCUUGUUGUGGUGGGCCGUUGGGCAAUUGCUUGGAAGCUCAGUCCCCUGAACCAUAUUGGUCAUGCUAGUAGGCCCCAUUGCCAAAUAACUCCCCUUACCCUGUCCCGUCCUCGGCCCCCUCCCAGCCGGCAUCCGCCCUCCUUGCCACCUUUAUUAGCCAGUCACCACAGUUAGAGGUGCUCGAGUUUCAUCUAGCAAUUAGUUAUACUAUAAAUACAGCAUUGUAGCUCAUGCUAUGCACGGGUUUACAUUUCAACAUUUAAAUUGAAGAGUUAAAAUUUGAAGCGAGUAAAAUUUUUUUCAUAACUUAUAAUAUAGUUUUACACUUUUAAAAUAUACUUAUAUUUAUAUCUUUAAAAUAAAAGCACUAGGUUCAGUCAUUUGUGGUAUAAAAUUGGGUUGAAUGGUGUCAACCUUUCUUUUGAAAAUGUUUAUAGUUGAUUAUGUAUUCAUCCUCCAAAUUGAAAGGUAAAAUUGAGAGGUAAAAUUUGAGGUAAAAGAGGAAAAAAAAAAACCAUAACAUGCAAUUUGGUUUAACCUUUUUAGAAUAUAUUUAACUUAACCUCUCACAAUAAGAAAACUAUACAAAUUGGUCACAGUGGUUGCAAAUAUUCGCACAUAGAAUGAAAAUAAAAAAACGGAGAGUAAUAUCUUAUAAUUUCCCUUACAACUACCAAAAAAUAAUAAAAAAGAUUUAGACUAUAAGAAUGACAUAGGAGUGUUGCAUAUUUACAUAUGAAGAAGACGAUAAAAAAUACACAAAAUAGUCAAUAACACCCAAGGUUAUUUUAGUGAUUGGGUUUUACACUCUUAUUCAAACCUAAUUGUGUUGAAUUUAGAUCAAAUAUAUACAAAUUGAAUUGAUAUAGUUUACGGUGAAAUGUUCUAUAUCUUUCUCUUAAACUAAUAUUUUUACAUUUUUUUAAAAUUUUUGAUAAGACUGGUAGUGUUUUGCUUUUACUUUUAUCAAAAAUAAAAAAAUUUAAAUAAAAAUUUUCACUUUGAGGGACCGAUAGGACUUUGCUUUUGAUUUAGUGAUUUCAUAAUUUAGGUUUCAGGUAUAGUACAUUAUUGAUUUUUUAAAUCCAUAACUAAUGAAUAUCCCUUUUUUUAUUUUCUAUAUAGUUUGUCAUUUUUGUUAGCAUCACUAAUUUGAAGGCUGAAAUGUUAUAAAUUACCGUUUUACUUCUUAUAAGACUUAUGAUGUUUCAUCUAUAUUUGACCUCUCAUGCAUAAACUUCAAACCAAAUUCCUAUAUUAGUGGAGCUACUUGUUACAUUUUAAAUUCAAAAGGCAUGAAGGGUAUUUAAUAAUUAAAAAAAUCCAAAAUUCUGUAAAAAAAAAAAAAAAAGAAUAUGGAGUUCGAAACAUUUUGAUUUGAUCAUCCUCAAAACCCAAUUAGCACUCUUUUCGCCUUCCUCUGUUUUCAUCUUGUGUUCAUUAACUUUGAGGUAUCCAAAACUUCAAAUGAAGCGUUGAACACAGAUGCCAUACUACUUUUUUUUUUUUUUUAAUAUAGUAGAAAAGGGAUGAAAUUUUGGAAGUGAGAAGAAUAGAAAAAUUUUAAAUCAUAUAUCUUGAAUUCGUGACUAAAUCCUCGACAGACGCUACACCACUUACUACUACAAAUGCAGUGCUGUAUCCACUAGGGGCAUGGCCGAACCAAAGGAUGUUAGUGCAAGUAGAAGGGUUUGUAUCUCUUAAUCAUGAGAUCUCGGAUUUGAAAUUCAUGAAAAAAAAAAAAAUGUUGGGAGAGCUUCUUCCUGCAAGGGGUUCGACCCGAUUCGAACAGGAUUAGUCGCAGACUGUAAAAUAGAUGCGAACACCUGUGAAUUAUACCAAAUAUAUAUAUAUAUAUAUAUAUGUAUGUAUGUAUGUAUCCACUAGGAGCAUGGCCGAGUAAGAUCAACUUGACCCCUGUUAAAGCUGUUGUGGUGGUCCCGUGGGCAAUUGCUUGGAAGAUGAGUCCCCUGAACUCUAUUUAGUCACCCUGGUUAGAGAUGCCCCAGCAAAAUCUCUUGGAAGAUGCGUCCCGUGAACCAUAUUUGUCAUCAGCUGGCCGCCCUCGGCAGAGAGAUGCCGCAGUACCAUCUAGCAAUUAGUCAUAUAGUACAUAAUGAAAUUUCCGCUUUCUACCUGGCAGUGGAUGGAAAGAACUUGCAGUCUUGCAUGGGGUCUCUAAGGAUAGAAAAAUCAAAUCAUACGAUUGGCAGCAACUUUCACGUUUCAAACGCACGAACACUUGUGUGUACGAAAAUAUAUAGAACUAUAUGAGUUUUACAGUAGACCAUAUUCAAUUGCGAAAACAUGCUAGUUCAAAAAAACCUACAAUCCAAACUGUUUACUCGCAUCAAAAUUUUAAGAGAUAAAUGGACUAGCUAUUCUUGGAUCACUUUGUGGAUUUGAAAACUUAAUACUUCUAGCUAUUUUUGGUUUAGGUUUUUCUUUUCUUUUAUUUACUUUAUUUAAAAGCUAAAGAUCAUGAAAAAUAUCCUACAAGAUAAAUGAUAUUUUUUAAAUUAAUCUGUGAAUCUCUAUACAAUAUUCCCAAUUUAUUUUGACCAAUGAAUGCUUCUUGCACUACUUAGCUUCUAACACUCUACUUUUACUCUUUUUUUUUUUUCUUUUAGAAACCCGUAAUUUAGAUUCUCUAAGUGGUCAGAUGCCAAAACUAACUUGAAAUAUCAUUUCUAAAUAGAAAUUUAAGCUCAUAGACAUCCCAUAGCCUCGUCUGAUAGACGAAAAAAUGUAGGUCUUCAAUAAUUCUUUUCCAUCCUCCGUACAAGCAGCAUAUGGGAUGGAAAUCUUUCAUUUUGCAACCUAGAAUUGUAACAAAAAUAUUUGUAAAGGAAUAAUUAAUGUUUGUUGACUUCUAUUUGUUUUCUUUUAUGGAACUCAUUUCAGGCAUUUGAUAGACAAUAAGGCCGCUUUAAAUCGUUCGAUAUUGAUGGUGGGAAUACUCCCAAGUCGGCAACUUUUUUUUUUUUUUUCCUUUUUUGUGGCUAUCACUUGGAAGAGCUUUUUUUUCAAUUUUUUUUUGGAAAUGGUAUCUUUGUUUUUGUUUUUUUUUUCCUUUUUUUCGUAAUUUUAAAGAUUUUUUUCAAGUCUUCAUUUAUCAAGCUUUAUAGCUAUUUGCAGGCAUUUUGUCAUCCAUGCAUGGAGAUCAAUAAUCACGAAAUUUUGUCAUCCAGCAUGAUUUGACAUGCCCGCCAUAAACUUUUAUAGUCUCUUCGUUAAAAGCAAAAAUUAGCUUUGUGGUUUGUUCUGUAUGUCUAAUUAAGAGAGUAAAUUUUGUCUUGGAACUGCUUAAGAUAAAAAAUUUUUGCAUGGUGGCGCACUGUCACCUUGCAUUACAUUUUUAAUACUUUUGCAAAUUGAAAAUCAACACAAGCAAAUUUAUUAGAUUUCUCUUUGCUGAAAAGCUACUUUUUUUUUAUGACAUCUAAUUCAUACUGAAUUUAUCAUUUAUACACAUACAAUAAUAUUUAAUGUAUACUCCCUCUCAUAGCAUUUAGACACUUUUAAAUUAUUUUUUUCCAAAAAAAAAAAAAACUUGAAACUCCUUUUGAAGAAGGUUGAGAUUUCCUAAAUUAUCAGUUAGCAUUUUUCCCUUUUUCUUUUACUUGUCACUUCACGUUUUUUCUUUACCCGCCCCGGCUCCGCCGCCCGGGGGGGGCGGGGGAGGAGAAACAAAAUUAUCAGCUAACUUGGCCGAGGUAGUUCAAGAUAACGCGAGCAUAGUAUUCUACUUGAAUGGGUGACAGCUGCCUCGACAUCAUCAUGCAUGUCCUUUUGGAUUCACAUAGCCAAUCAAACCUUGUCGUUUUUUACUAUCCAUUUUUUAUGAUAGCCACAUAAAUUUUUUAUACAUUAAUAACUCGAGAUGAAUAGAGUAUAUAUGAAAUUUGACAUUUAAAUUAAAAUAGCGAGACUUACAUCUAAAAUCAUUAAUAUAAUUAAUGUAAGAAAAAUUAAUCUUAAAAAAAUAUUAUUUGGUUUCUUUUUUUUUUUUUCGGUUAACCGCGCUGCUAUUAUUAUUUUAAUAGUAUAAUUUUUAUUUCUUAGAUUAUAUUAUGAAACAAAUGAUAGGACCGUAAAUAACAAAAAGUUGGAGUGUAAAACACAUUUUCCUUAAUCCUUGUACAUUUUCGAUGAUUUUCAUAUAGUCUAAUGUCUCCAUGUCUCCAGCCAUUAUAUAAGCAUCAGCACUCCUCGUUCUUUCUAAUCAUAUCUGAAUUGAUUACUCAAAUCUUCAUCCAUCUUCUGAAAACCCAGCCACCAUGCCUUCUACUCUAUCUCCCUCAGAAGAUAAAUAUCUCAAUGACCUUCUGCAACUCGCCCGUCCUUUCCUCGCGGAGAGCUCGAAAACGUGGACAAAAACCUUCCUUAUCUAGUCUCAGUCCUGCGCUCAGUUGGGGCAGGCGAGUGCUGGCACAAGCAUGGAAGUUUUCUUGAACAUCUGUUUGAUAUAUAUCGCAUUCUCAAGCUGUGGAAAGCCCCUGAUGCUGUUUGCCUUUGUGGGCUCUU